UACAGAGGUCUCAAGCGUUGUUCGGAUUCAUUGGGCGUAAAGGGCGCGUAGGCGGCGGGGUAAGUCGGGUGUGAAAUCUCAGGGCUCAACCCUGAAACUGCACUCGAUACUGCCGUGCUUGAGGACUGGAGAGGAGACUGGAAUUUACGGUGUAGCGGUGAAAUGCGUAGAUAUCGUAAGGAAGACCAGUGGCGAAGGCGGGUCUCUGGACAGUUCCUGACGCUGAGGCACGAAGGUCAGGGGAGCAAACGGG
rnacentral:rRNA from 1 species